CUCUCAUAGCAUCAUCGAAAACAAAAUUUCUUGUUAUAAAAUCUUAAGUUUGCUUCAGAUUGUUACAACUUUCUCUAUUCCAUUAAAUAAACUAUUUGUCUGAUUUUAAUAAAGAUUAAAUAUUUCCCUCUUUACACAGAUGCUCCCACCUCCCUCUCAGGCUGAUUUGCAACAGUUAUAUAAGACCUUUCCAAGGAGAGUUCCUUCACUCUGCAAGUGUUUCCAUUUCAGGCUAGCAAGCCAAGGCGCGCAAUCUUUGCUGAAAGGAACGAAUGAAUGACAAAAACGAUAGGUUUCGGGCAUGAGUGAAGAUCCAACUGCUGGACAAGAACAACAAAAUAACAAACUUGAGUUUUUAAAAAGGCGAACUUACAUAACAAUGGUGCAAGACUUGUUAAGAGUACAACAUAAACAAACGGAAACAAUGUCUUUAAUGGCCCAGUGGAAGCAUGAUUCUUUAACAUCUCAACAAAAUGUGACAAUAAUGUAAAACUAUGCCCCUGACCAAAGCAGUAAUGCCUUCCAUUGAACUGCAAGCAACACAAUGCAUAGAAUAAUGUCUAACAGGGGUGAGACAAGCUGCUGGAAAAGCGUUCACAAAUCCAACUGCUUUGAUGUGACGGAGUGUUGGCCUGAAGCCCAAACAUAUUUGC